rnacentral:sRNA from 1 species
GUGUGCAACCUCUGCCCUCAUAUGAAAAAAGUGGAUAAGCAGAGUAUGAAAUUCAAAGUAAUGCUUUUUGAUAAUGCUAGAUACUGAUAUGAAAGUAGAAGCUAUCUGUGAGAUCUGUUAUUAUCAGAAGUCUGAGAAUCUCAUUUUCCUCAAGACUGUGUUUGUAUGUCUUGUCUGAGAGAUUGAUGGGGGGAAGUAUCACUUCCAGCAUUCUGCCCUCAAUGCUCUCCAAGUUGCUGUGGAGACAAUGUUGGUCACACUUUUUGAGUGUAUGAUAUCAUGUGAAAACAGAUGUAACAAUAUCUCACUAAUCAUUUCAUAGAUGGCUUUAAGACCAUGAUUCAUUGUGAGUGAAUGACUCUCACUGUGAGGGAUAUUAGAUUGGUGAUGG